ensembl:ncRNA lncRNA:CR44288 long non-coding RNA:CR44288
AGUUGGGUGGGGUGGGUGCGCUCCAUAUGUCCAUGUGGGCCUGGUUUAAAACGUAUCAACAAGCUAUACAAGAUAUGUAUACACAACAUUGAAUUUACGUCCUGUCAAAAGGAGAAGGAGUCCUGGAGAAGCAGCCAGCCUCCUUGCACAAUUUGCAAUCAGGCAAAACUAAUUUGCCCAAUAAGCCGCAGGCGAAGAGGUCAAAAAGGUAUUUUGGAUCCCAGCCGACAGUUGCAGCAGUCGUCGAUUCGUCGAUUCCAAAUGGCACAGAUAAUGGAGCAAAAUCAACUUGAGCCAAAACUGAUAUUGACAAUUCAGUGCCACAAACACUGGGCAGAAGACCGAACUUUCUCAGCUGCUUGCGACCAAUUGAGAGAUUCCCAAAUGACAGUGGAAUUGAUUUUCAUCGAUAUGGCCGAAACCAUGUGCUCCUGCAUUUCAUAUUCAUAUGCGAACGUGCUCCUGCCACUCGAUUGUAAAUGUGAUUGUAAGUGUGUUUGUCACUGUGUUUGUGAGCGUGUCCCUGGCAAUGGCAGCCAACCGCAAUGUAAUUGAUGUGGAUUGUGCUGUGGAUAUGCCUUCGAACCACCGGUGCGGACCCAGUCCGCACUUCUUCAUGUUGUUAUUCAUUAAAAUCCCAGCCGAGUGCUUUUGUCUCUCACGAGAAGGUCUCGAGUGGUUGAGCGGGCUGGCUCCUUUUGGGGCUAAUCUGCAUUGUCUGGCUGGCAACAUGGAAGACAGUCGGGUUCUCGAUGGCAAGGAUACUUAGAUACACGGCUACACAUGUCGCAUUGUCCUGUUCCUCUCAACCGCAACUUUAAGUUCUUCCAGCGUUGAGCAUGUUUCAAGUUCGUGGGAUGCGUGAUUUGAAUAGGGUUACAAAAACACACACUGGAAGAAAAGAAAAUUCAAAAUAAACACGAAUAC